rnacentral:rRNA from 1 species
CCUACGGGAGUCAGCAGUGAGGAAUAUUGGUCAAUGGACGAGAGUCUGAACCAGCCAAGUAGCGUGAAGGAUGACUGCCCUAUGGGUUGUAAACUUCUUUUAUAUGGGAAUAAAAUGUUCCACGUGUGGGUUUUUGUAUGUACCAUAUGAGUAAGGAUCGGCUAACUCCGUGCCAGCAGCCGCGGUAAUACGGAGGAUCCGAGCGUUAUCCGGAUUUAUUGGGUUUAAAGGGAGCGUAGGUGGAUUGUUAAGUCAGUUGUGAAAGUUUGCGGCUCAACCGUAAAAUUGCAGUUGAAACUGGCAGUCUUGAGUACAGUAGAGGUGGGCGGAAUGCGUGGUGUAGCGGUGAAAUGCUUAGACAUCACGAAGAACUCCGAUUGCGAAGGCAGCUCACUGGACUGCAACUGACACUGAGGCUCGAAAGUGUGGGUAUCAAACAGGAUUAGAUACCCUUGUAGGC